GAUGAACGCUAGCGGCAGGCCUAACACACGCAAGUCGAGGGGCAGCACAGAAACAGCAAUGUUUUGGUGGCGACCGGCGGACGGGUGCGUAACGCGUAUGCAACCUACCUUUAACAGGGGGAUAACGGAGAGAAAUUUCCACUAAUACCCCAUAACAUCGAUCAAGGCAUCUUGAUUGGUUGAAAACUCCGGUGGUUAAAGAUGGGCAUGCGUUGCACUAGGUAGUUGGUGAGGUAAUGGCUCACCAAGCCUACGAUACAUAGGGGGACUGAGAGGUUAGCCCCCCACACUGGUACUGAGACACGGACCAGACUCCUACGGGAGGCAGCAGUGAGGAAUAUUGGUCAAUGGGGGCAACCCUGAACCAGCCAUGCCGCGUGCAGGAAGACGGCUCUAUGAGUUGUAAACUGCUUUUAAACAGGGAUAAAGCACAGUAUGUAUACUGUGUUGAAGGUACUGUAAGAAUAAGGAUCGGCUAACUCCGUGCCAGCCGCCGCAGUAA
rnacentral:rRNA from 1 species